UACGAAGGGGGCUAGCGUUGCUCGGAAUUACUGGGCGUAAAGCGCACGUAGGCGGCUUUCUAAGUCGGGGGUGAAAUCCUGGAGCUCAACUCCAGAACUGCCUUUGAUACUGAAGAUCUUGAGUCCGGGAGAGGUGAGUGGAACUGCGAGUGUAGAGGUGAAAUUCGUAGAUAUUGGGAAGAACACCGGUGGCGAAGGCGGCGAGCUGGCCUGUACCUGACGCUGAGGCGCGACAGCGUGGGGAGCAAACAGGAUUAGAA
rnacentral:rRNA from 1 species